GCUGGUGUAGCUCAGCAGGUAGAGCGCUUCACUUGUAAUGAAGAUGUCGCGGGUUCGAUUCCUGUCGCCAGCUCCA
rnacentral:tRNA from 1 species